rnacentral:misc_RNA from 1 species
AUCAGUACCGAUGCCUUCAUGGUUGAGGAUACCGCACAGUGGCCUGCUUCGGCAGGCUAACGUGUAUAACCACUUGUUGAAACACCUUCCUUUGCUUCGGCAGCACCUUCCACUUAAUUGCGGAGGGGUAAGGCUGUCAGAAGCUCAUAACCAAAACCAGUUGAUGAAAUGUCAUGCUGUCUGAUACCGUUUAGUAUUUGAGAAAUCGAAUAACUAUUA